AUGGCGACUUUCCACAUCACCGCUCUCAGCCUACCGAAAUGGAUCCUACGAAAAGUUGAGAAGAUCAUUCGCGGGUUUCUAUGGCAGAAAGAGGAUCAAACGCAAACUUCUGGAGGGCACUCCCUCGUUAACUGGAAGACCGUCUGUCGUCCAAGGAGGUUGGGCGGCCUGGGAAUCGCUGACCUUGACCGUUUUGGCCGCGCCCUCCGCCUUCGCUGGCCCUGGAUACAAUGGACGGACCCAGAGAGGCCAUGGGUGGGCACUGACCUGCCAUGCGACCAGGCUGAUAUGAACCUUUUUCGCGCAAGCACAACCAUAACUUUGGGAGAUGGCCGCAAGGCACUUUUCUGGCAUGAC
rnacentral:rRNA from 1 species